CAUAUAUGAAUUUGCAGUGUUGCAGAUGAAGUUCCAGCCCUUUAGCAGCAUACAAUGAUUAUCAGCUGACAAUACAUGAGACAAUGUUCGUACUUGUUCAGCAGUUUAUAAGAACAAACAUGGUCUCUACAAAUGAUAUGGCACUGCAGGGGGAAAAUUGUGGUGAUCUGAUGAUUUUAUUGUCUUGAUGAGUAGGUCCUUUCUGAGUGGAAGCAGAAAUAUGAGGAGUGUCAGUGUGAGCUGGAGAGCUCUCAGAAAGAAGCAAGGUCUCUGAGCACUGAGCUCUUCAAACUCAAAAACUCCUAUGAAGAAUCUCUAGAGCAUCUGGAGACCAUGAAGAGAGAGAACAAGAAUCUGCAAGGUGAUCUAGUGGUGAAUAUGACUUGAAAAUAUGUAACAAUGCAUAUGCAAAAAUAACCAGUUAAGCCUCACUACUUUCAUAAACAGAGGAAAUUUCUGAUCUUACUGAGCAACUUGGUGAGGGAGGGAAAACCAUACAUGAGCUGGAGAAAGUCCGGAAGCAACUUGAGCAGGAAAAGACUGAGAUUCAGUCUGCGCUUGAAGAGGCAGAGGUACACUCACGUUCUUCGGUUCCUCAAAUGUACAUUAUAUUUUCGGUUUCAAAAUAUCACCGUACAUUGGCCUUGAAAAUAGUUGUAUGCUUGUUUGUGCCUUUCUUAGGCUUCUCUUGAACAUGAAGAGGGAAAGAUUCUGAGAGCCCAGCUUGAAUUUGCCCAAGUUAAGGCAGACAUGGAGCGUAAACUGUCUGAGAAAGAUGAAGAAAUGGAGCAAUGCAAAAGGAACUCCCAGAGGACCAUUGACACCCUGCAGAGCUCCCUUGAGGCUGAAAUUCGCAGCAGGAAUGAGGCCCUCCGUCUGAAGAAGAAGAUGGAGGGAGACCUCAAUGAGAUGGAGAUCCAGCUUAGCCAGGCCAACAGGCAGGCAGCUGAGGCUCAGAAACAGCUCAAGGCUGUUCAUGCACAUCUGAAGGUAGAAAAGAAACUUACUUUUUGUUUUUAAUGUUAUCAUUGCAGUGGAAAUUGUCUAACUAGAUGUAUUAACGAUUUUACAGGAUUCUCAACUCCAACUUGAUGACUCUCUGCGUGCAAAUGAAGACAUGAAAGAAAACAUUGCCAUAGUUGAGAGACGCAACAACCUCCUGCAGGCUGAAGUUGAGGAGCUGAGGUCUGCUCUGGAGCAAACUGAGAGAGGUCGCAAACUCGCUGAGCAAGAGCUCCUGGAUGUCAGUGAGAGGGUGCAGCUGCUGCACUCACAGGUAUGUUAGAUAUUAGCCUUUUUAAAAAAAAAUGAUGCUGCAAAUUUCCUUGUGUAAUAAACACCCUUAUUGUGUAUCAAAGAACACUAGCCUGAUAAAUCACAAGAAGAAGCUGGAGGCAGACACAGCCCAGCUCCAAACUGAAGUAGAGGAUGCAGUUCAGGAGUGUAGGAAUGCUGAGGAGAAGGCCAAGAAGGCCAUUACUGAUGCUGCCAUGAUGGCUGAGGAGCUGAAGAAAGAACAGGACACCAGUGCUCACCUGGAGCGCAUGAAGAAGAACAUGGAGCAAACCAUCAAAGACCUGCAGCACCGUCUGGAUGAAGCUGAACAGAUUGCUAUGAAGGGAGGAAAGAAGCAGGUGCAGAAGCUCGAGGCCAGGGUGAGUGUAACAUACAGUAUAUAUUUGCGUGUGGCCAGUAGUGUUGUUGAGUUUGUUGUUAAGAAAACACAAUAUAAAAACAAAUAAAAACAUUAUCCCUGACCAGGUGAGGGAGCUGGAAAAUGAGGUUGAAAUGGAGCAAAAGAAAAGCAGUGAGGCUGUGAAGGGCAUCCGCAAAUAUGAGCGACGCAUCAAGGAGCUUACCUACCAGGUUUGUUGAGGGUAGUCAGAGCCGCAUGUGUGCUUAUGGUUCUUUAUUCAAGGUAAGUUUGUAACCUUUGUUCUUUUCUACACAGAGUGAGGAGGACCGCAAGAAUAUUGCCAGGCUCCAAGAUCUGGUUGAUAAGCUGCAGCUCAAAGUCAAAGCUUACAAGAGGUCUACAGAGGAAGCUGUAAGUGAGAAAAUUUGCCAAGUGAGGUCAACAUGCUGUUGUUUCCCCCUUUACUUUGUAACUUUAUAUUUGCUUCAAUAUUGAACAGGAGGAACAGGCCAAUGUUCAUCUUGGCAAGUUCCGUAAGUUGCAGCAUGAGCUGGAUGAAGCCGAGGAGAGAGCUGACAUUGCCGAGACUCAGGUCAACAAGCUUCGUGCCAAGAGUCGGGAUGCCGGGCCCAAGGUUUGAAAGCAUGCAUUCUGUACCAGGUGCACAGCAUCUGACCCUGACACAUGCUGCCCUCUCAUGGCUGCGAGUUAACUUGAAUGCUGCGCUGCUUUUCAAGUGUUGGAACAGAUUAGUGUAAAGUCAACAGCAGUGCUUCUGUUUAAAACUGUGCAAUACUAAUCUAAAGACCCUUACAGCUGUUUCUCUUUCUCUCUCCUUCCAACUAUCCUGGCUGCAACAGAAAGGCUUUGAUGAGGAGUGAACCUGUGGAACCUUCAGAGAAACCUUUGUGUGCUGUGUACUGUAGUUCCCCUAAACUAUCACUAUUUACAUCCUGUAGUCCUUAAUAAACCUGACUGAGCUGCUCUUUUUUGUGUUUUUCCAUCAUUUUUGUCAUGUAAGGGAUAAGAAAAGCAGUAUAAGCCCUUAUCUCUUGAAUCGGAAUAUGAUGUUUACAUGCAAAAACACAAAAACUAGAUUCUUCAAAAUCCAAC
rnacentral:lncRNA from 1 species